ACUUUAGGGUUAAAAUGCAAUGUAGAUGCUCAAACCCAUGGUUCCCUGACAUGGCUCAGCUGACUCAAGUUCCACUAACCCUAGUCUUACAUUGUUGUUUAGACAUAGCCUAAGAGGCUGCUUAAGGGCCCCCCAGGCUCAACCAUGUGAUUCAAAAUGGAAACUCCUAACAGCAAGCAGGUUCUGACAGCUUCUUCUGGAACCAGAAAGUACCCGGGACAUUGGAGGUGAUUCUUUCUUGAACACAGUGCCCCUGUAAGAACUCUGCCAAUACAGAUGUCGCAAAGAGACGUUUAUGACUUCAAGUGAUGAAUACACAGCAGGAGCAGAACUCCUUGGGACCAGGAAUAGCAAGGAGCAUUAAGAUGGCAACAACGGUGUGCGGCUGGGACUCUGAGGCAGUGAUGGGUAUAUCUGAGAUGGGCAACUCAUCUUUAGUAAUAUACUUUCAGGCACAGUGGAUGCUAUGCACAGAUGCGAGGCCCGGGACCUUCAACUCUCUGGCUGAUUGGGAGCCUUCGAGGAGGACCACUGGGGAGUCCUGACAACUGGUGGACUUUGUCGCAGGCGGGGAAACCCUCUGGGAUGAUGGACACCAGGAAAGCUGCAGGAUUCCCUCACAGCAAUCGCCAAAGCAACAAACCUUCAUCCUGCCAGAAAGAGAAACUCAUCUCGCAUCCGCCUCUUCCCCCCACCCCCCAAAGGCCAUGGUCAAUGCUACUCUGUGGAUCAGCUGCCAGAGGAUGUUGUCAGAAAAGGACAGCUCACACCCAGUUAUGUUUGCCAGUUGGUUGCUAAAUAUAACAGGAUAAUAUUUUUUUAACUCAAAUGGUAAAUGGGUAUCGUUUCUCUUUACAUUUCUGAUAUCUUUCACCAUGUGUCUCCUUCCAAAGGAAACAUUGUAGAGUUGUACAAGUGUCUUGCUAUGAUAUUAUAUUCUAAGGACAGUAUAGGAAAAUAUUUUAUUUUUACUUCGGUGAAGUCAACAUUGUGAUAAAAGUAAAUAUUUCUUGUUAAGGUCACCUAUGGUAGUCUUUGUUCAUCUGUUUUGUAAAAGAAAUAAAGAGCUCUUUCUUUACAUAGCCAUGCAUAGUGAUCUCUAUCUUCGUCUCCCUUGUUAAAUGUAAACCUCAGUAGACUAUUGGCUAUUUUGAGUGUCCUGUACAUUUAAUACACAAGCUAUUGUUAGGGAAACAAUCUUACCUUUCUGGAAUACAGUGUGUGGGAGUUGAGUAAAAUGUGUUGGUGGUAUCAGUGCAAUAAACUGU